CCCUGCACUCUGGGAUAAGCUUGGGAAACUGGGUCUAAUACCGGAUAUGACCACAGCAUGCAUGUGUUGUGGUGGAAAGAUUUAUCGGUGCAGGAUGGGCCCGCGGCCUAUCAGCUUGUUGGUGGGGUAAUGGCCUACCAAGGCGACGACGGGUAGCCGACCUGAGAGGGUGACCGGCCACACUGGGACUGAGACACGGCCCAGACUCCUACGGGAGGCAGCAGUGGGGAAUAUUGCACAAUGGGCGGAAGCCUGAUGCAGCGACGCCGCGUGAGGGAUGAAGGCCUUCGGGUUGUAAACCUCUUUCAGCAGGGACGAAGCGUGAGUGACGGUACCUGCAGAAGAAGCACCGGCUAACUACGUG
rnacentral:rRNA from 1 species